AUGCACGCUGGCGGCGUGCCUAAUACAUGCAAGUCGCGCGAACGGACGAGAAGCUUGCUUCUCUGAUGUUAGCGGCGGACGGGUGAGUAACACGUGGAUAACCUACCUAUAAGACUGGGAUAACUUCGGGAAACCGGAGCUAAUACCGGAUAAUAUUUUGAACCGCAUGGUUCAAAAGUGAAAGACGGUCUUGCUGUCACUUAUAGAUGGAUCCGCGCUGCAUUAGCUAGUUGGUAAGGUAACGGCUUACCAAGGCAACGAUGCAUAGCCGACCUGAGAGGGUGAUCGGCCACACUGGAACUGAGACACGGUCCAGACUCCUACGGGAGGCAUCAGUAGGGAAUCUUCCGCAAUGGGCGAAAGCCUGACGGAGCAACGCCGCGUGAGUGAUGAAGGUCUUCGGAUCGUAAAACUCUGUUAUUAGGGAAGAACAUAUGUGUAAGUAACUGUGCACAUCUUGACGGUACCUAAUCAGAAAGCCACGGCUAACUACGUG
rnacentral:rRNA from 1 species